rnacentral:rRNA from 1 species
UAUCAUAGCGAGGAAAAGAAACUAACAAGGAUUCCCCUAGUAACGGCGAGUGAAGCGGGAUGAGCUCAAAUUUAAAAUCUGGCUGGUUUACUAGUCCGAAUUGUAGUUUAAAGAAGCGUUUUCGGUGGCAGCCUGGGUAUAAAUCCUUUGGAAUAGGGUAUCAUAGAGGGUGAGAAUCCCGUCUUUGACUCAGUGAAUGCUACUAUGUGAUACGUUUUCAAAGAGUCGAGUUGUUUGGGAAUGCAGCUCAAAAUGGGUGGUAAAUUUCAUCUAAAGCUAAAUAUUGGCGAGAGACCGAUAGCGAACAAGUACCGUGAGGGAAAGAUGAAAAGAACUUUGAAAAGAGAGUUAAACAGUACGUGAAAUUGUUGAAAGGGAAACGUUUGACACCAGUCAUGCGGGUGGGAAAUCAGUCUUUUAGCGUGGGGAGUGGUGGGGGUUCGGACCGCAAGGCUGGCCUCUAUCUCAUCUCUGCGCUAAUGGAUGCACUUUUUCAUUUGCAGGUCAACAUCAGUUUCUUCUGCUGGACAAAACUCUGAGAGAAGGUAGCAGCUUUGGCUGUGUUAUAGCUCUGGAGCGAUACAGCGGAGGGGACUGAGGCUUUCGCAGUGUGUGCUUUCGGGCAAGGUUGACUGGGUGCUAUGUGAUCGUUCGGUGUACAAUGCAUGCAUUUUGCGCCGUGUCUUUUGCAUACUCGCCUGACUCGACUCUUCCACGCUUAGGAUGUUGACUUAAUGGUUUUAAACGACCCGUCUUGAAACACGGACCAAGGAGUCUAACAUAUAUGCAAGUGUUUGGGUGGCAAACCCAUACGCGUAAUGAAAGUGAACGUAGGUGCGAUCCGCAAGGUGCAGCAUCGACCGAUCUUGAUAUUUUUGGAUAGAUUUGAGUAAGAGCAUAUAUGCUGGGACCCGAAAGAUGGUGAACUAUGCCUGAAUAGGGUGAAGCCAGAGGAAACUCUGGUGGAGGCUCGUAGCGAUUCUGACGUGCAAAUCGAUCGUCAAAUUUGGGUAUAGGGGCGAAAGACUAAUCGAACCAUCUAGUAGCUGGUCUGC